rnacentral:rRNA from 1 species
UCAUUGACGCUGCGGCAGGCCUAACACAUGCAAGUCCAGCGGAUGACGGGAGCUUGCUCCUUGAUUCAGCGGCGGACGGGUGAGUAAUGCCUAGGAAUCUGCCUGGUAGUGGGGGACAACGUUUCGAAAGGAACGCUAAUACCGCAUACGUCCUACGGGAGAAAGCAGGGGACCUUCGGGCCUUGCGCUAUCAGAUGAGCCUAGGUCGGAUUAGCUAGUUGGUGGGGUUAUGGCUCACCAAGGCGACGAUCCGUAACUGGUCUGAGAGGAUGAUCAGUCACACUGGAACUGAGACACGGUCCAGACUCCUACGGGAGGCAUGCAGUGGGGAAUAUUGGACAAUGGGCGAAAGCCUGAUCCAGCCAUGCCGGUGUGUGAAGAAGGUCUUCGGAUUGUAAAGCACUUUAAGUUGGGAAGGAAGGGCA